UGAAUACGAGACGCUAAGGCGUCGAAGUAGUGUAUGUCAUACUUCCAAGAAAAGCUUGCACUGUCAUAGAUAAAAAACGCCUGUACCAUAACCGACACAGGUGGGUAGGUAGAGUAUACUAAGGGGCGCGAGAUAACUCUCUCUAAGGAACUCGGCAAAAUAACUCCGUAACUUCGGGAGAAGGAGUGCCUUAUUCGUAAGGUUGCAAUAACAAGAUCCAAGCAACUGUUUAUCAAAAACACAGGUCUCCGCUAAGUCGUAAGACGAUGUAUGGGGGCUGACGCCUGCCCAGUGCCAGAAGGUUAAAGAAGUUGGUUAGCAAUUGCGAAGCUGAUAACUGAAGCCCUGGUGAACGGCGGCCGUAACAAUAACGGUCCUAAGGUAGCGAAAUUCCUUGUCGGGUAAGUUCCGACCCGCACGAAAGGCGUAAUGAUUUGGAUACUGUCUCGGAGAGGGGCUCGGUGAAAUAGACUUGUCUGUGAAGAUGCGGACUACCUGCACCAGGACAGAAAGACCCUAUGAAGCUUUACUGUAACUUGAAAUUGAAAUUGGACUUUAUUCGCGCAGUAUAGGUGGGAGGCGUUGAUUAUAAUCUUGUGGGAUUAUUGGAGCCAUCAGUGAGAUACCACUCUUGUAAUGUUAGAUUUCUAACUUUGAAUCAUUAUCUGGUCAAAGAACAGUUUCAGGCGGGCAGUUUGACUGGGGCGGUCGCCUCCUAAACGGUAACGGAGGCGUACAAAGGUUUCCUCUGAACGGUUAGAAAUCGUAUCUAGAGUGUAAAGGCAUAAGGAAGCUUGACUGUGAGACCUACAAGUCGAGCAGGGACGAAAGUCGGUCUUAGUGAUCUGACGGUACUGAGUGGAAAGGCCGUCACUCAACGGAUAAAAGUUACUCUAGGAUAACAGGCUGAUCUCCCCCAAGAGUUCACAUCGACGGGGAGGUUUGGCACCUCGAUGUCGGCUCAUCGCAUCCUGGGGCGGUAGUACGUCCCAAGGGUUGGGCUGUUCGCCCAUGAAAGCGGUACGCGAGCUGGGUUCAGAACGUCGUGAGACAGUUCGGUCCAUAUCCGGUGUAGGCGUUAGAAUAUUGAGAGGAGCCUUCUUUAGUACGAGAGGACCGAGAAGGACAUACCUCUGGUGUACCAGUUAUCGUGCCAACGGUAAACGCUGGGUAGCUAUGUAUGGAGUGGAUAACCGCUGAAAGCAUCUAAGUGGGAAGCCCACCUCAAGAUAAGUAUUCUC
rnacentral:rRNA from 1 species